rnacentral:rRNA from 1 species
AUGUUGAAAAAUUAGCGGAUGACCUGUGGCUGGGGGUGAAAGGCCAAUCAAACCGGGAGAUAGCUGGUUCUCCCCGAAAGCUAUUUAGGUAGCGCCUCGUGAAUUCAUCUCCGGGGGUAGAGCACUGUUUCGGCUAGGGGGCCAUCCCGGCUUACCAACCCGAUGCAAACUGCGAAUACCGGAGAAUGUUAUCACGGGAGACACACGGCGGGUGCUAACGUCCGUCGUGAAGAGGGAAACAACCCAGACCGCCAGCUAAGGUCCCAAAGUCAUGGUUAAGUGGGAAACGAUGUGGGAAGGCCCAGACAGCCAGGAUGUUGGCUUAGAAGCAGCCAUCAUUUAAAGAAAGCGUAAUAGCUCACUGGUCGAGUCGGCCUGCGCGGAAGAUGUAACGGGGCUAAACCAUGCACCGAAGCUGCGGCAGCGAACGUAUCACUUAAAGCGAUUCAGCGGGUUACGAUUGACGGAGCGAAGCGACGUCAAAGCGUAUACAAAGUCGAGUCGGUUUA